rnacentral:rRNA from 1 species
UACGAAGGACCCGAGCGUUAUCCGGAUUUAUUGGGUUUAAAGGGUGCGUAGGCGUCCUGGAAAGUUACGGUUGAAAUCUCCUUGCUCAACAAGGAAACUGGCCGUAAAACUAUCAGGAUUGAGUACAUUUGAAGCGGGCGGAAUGUGUCAUGUAGCGGUGAAAUGCUUAGAAUAUGACACAGAACACCAAUUGCGAAGGCAGCUCGCUAAACUGUAACUGACGCUGAGGCACGAAGCGUGGGGAUCAAACAGGA